AACGAACGCUGGCGGCAUGCCUAACACAUGCAAGUCGAACGAGACCUUCGGGUCUAGUGGCGCACGGGUGCGUAACGCGUGGGAACCUGCCCUUAGGUUCGGAAUAACUCCCCGAAAGGGGUGCUAAUACCGGAUAAUGUCUUCGGACCAAAGAUUUAUCGCCUUUGGAUGGGCCCGCGUUGGUUUAGCUAGUUGGUAGGGUAAAAGCCUACCAAGGCGAGGAUCCAUAGCUGGUCUGAGAGGAUGAUCAGCCACACUGGGACUGAGACACGGCCCAGACUCCUACGGGAAGCAGCAGUGGGGAAUAUUGGAAAAUGGGCGAAAGCCUGAACCAGCAAUGCCGCGAGAGUGAUGAAGGCGUUAGGGUAGUAAAGCACUUUUACCCGGGAUGAUAAUGACAGUACCGGGAGAAUAAGCUCCGGCUAACUCCGUG
rnacentral:rRNA from 1 species